rnacentral:sRNA from 1 species
GGAGGAACAAACUUAAAGGCAGGGUACCUUAUAAAAAGCCAUUGCAGUAGGUUGGGCAACAAGCAACAGAGACAUGAUGCAGGGCAAGUUUGAGGUAGAAUCCACAGGACUUACUGGCUUCUAAGGAUGUAGGAUAAGAGAGCUGAAAGAAGAGGUACAGGUGACUCUUAGGUUUCUGCUAGAUAGGUAAAGGAAACAUGGUUUCACUUUUAGACACCUGAAUCGAUACCCACUUUACAGGUGGAACUAUGACUCCUCUUACAGUGAGGUAGGGGCAGGAUGUGGAUUCUAAAGUCAUUAGAAUAUGAUGGAAUUAGAUGGAAAUUGAAGGUAUGGGAGUAGGUAAGGUAACACUUAAAAGAUAUGGAUUGUGAGCCACCCUUAACCCUAAACAAAAGAAUACCAACAUUUUACUCGUGUAAUCUGGGUAGUAAAACCAGAAGGUAGAAAGCCAACCAGCAAAGAAUUGCCUAAUGGUUGCCUGGGGAAAUGGUGCUUUAAAAAGCCUUCUGUAAAUAAAUACUGCAAACAAAUUAGUAGAUGACAACUGAAAACGAAGCUUGAGCUAAGUCUGGCAGUGGAAUUGGAAAGAGAUUAUUGAAAAUAGUGCAAGAAAUGUUGAGUAUUGGAAAUGAAAUCAAUCAUUAUUAAGUCAUUGUAUCAUUGUCAUCAUUUGGGGGACUAUAAAUUAAUGCAGUUGUGUGCAGUGAAAUAUUUUUCCUUCUAAAAAUACCAAAUUAACUUUGUAAUUUUUUUUUAAUAUAAAUCAGGUGCCAGAUGCAAUUAAAAAGUGUCAGAGGGCUGGAAUUACUGUGCGGAUGGUCACUGGUGAUAAUAUUAAUACUGCUCGGGCCAUUGCUACCAAAUGUGGUAUUUUACAUCCUGGGGAAGAUUUUCUGUGCCUAGAAGGUAAAGAUUUUAACAGAAGAAUACGAAAUGAAAAAGGAGAGAUUGAGCAAGAGAGGAUAGACAAGAUUUGGCCAAAACUUCGAGUACUUGCAAGAUCAUCUCCUACUGAUAAGCAUACACUGGUUAAAGGUAUAAUUGACAGCACUGUCUCAGACCAACGCCAGGUUGUAGCUGUAACUGGUGAUGGUACAAAUGAUGGCCCAGCACUAAAGAAGGCAGAUGUUGGAUUUGCAAUGGGUAUUGCUGGAACUGAUGUAGCUAAAGAAGCAUCCGAUAUUAUUCUCACAGAUGACAACUUUACAAGCAUUGUUAAAGCAGUUAUGUGGGGACGAAAUGUCUAUGACAGCAUCUCAAAAUUCCUUCAGUUCCAACUUACUGUUAAUGUAGUAGCAGUGAUUGUUGCUUUUACGGGCGCCUGCAUUACUCAAGACUCACCGCUUAAGGCUGUGCAGAUGCUGUGGGUAAACCUCAUAAUGGAUACACUCGCUUCCCUGGCUCUGGCAACGGAACCACCCA